AAGGAUCAUUAGCAAGGUGAUAGAGGGGGGGUGUGGGGGUGAGGGGAAACUCUCUCCCCACCCACCGCCCAAAAACCCGGGCGUGGACCAGGAUUGUGUGUUGAUCAUGUGCCACGCCCAAUGGCCGCUUGAACGAUUGUCUAUCGACGAGAUUGCAAUGAUGCAUCUACUCUUAACAACGGAUCUCUCGGCUCCU
rnacentral:misc_RNA from 1 species